rnacentral:piRNA from 1 species
UAACUCUAUUUAGUAGAUAGUAAUGCCUGA